CAAUCGCAGGCGGCAGACGGGUGAGUAACGCGUGGGAACGUACCUUUUGGUUCGGAACAACCCAGGGAAACUUGGGCUAAUACCGGAUAAGCCCUUACGGGGAAAGAUUUAUCGCCGAAAGAUCGGCCCGCGUCUGAUUAGCUAGUUGGUGAGGUAAUGGCUCACCAAGGCGACGAUCAGUAGCUGGUCUGAGAGGAUGAUCAGCCACAUUGGGACUGAGACACGGCCCAA
rnacentral:rRNA from 1 species